UACGGAGGGUGCGAACGUUAAUCGGAAUCACUGGGCGUAAAGCGUGCGCAGGCGGUUCGCCAAGUCAGGUGUGAAAUCCCCGGGCUUAACCUGGGAAUUGCGCUUGAAACUAGCGGGCUUGAGUGUGGCAGAGGGGGGUGGAAUUCCACGUGUAGCAGUGAAAUGCGUAGAGAUGUGGAGGAACACCGAUGGCGAAGGCAGCCCCCUGGGUCAACACUGACGCUCAUGCACGAAAGCGUGGGGAGCAAACAGG
rnacentral:rRNA from 1 species